AAACCAACCGGGAUUGCCUUAGUAACGGCGAGUGAAGCGGCAAAAGCUCAAAUUUGAAAUCUGGUACCUUCGGUGCCCGAGUUGUAAUUUGGAGAGGGCAACUUUGGGGCCGUUCCUUGUCUAUGUUCCUUGGAACAGGACGUCAUAGAGGGUGAGAAUCCC
rnacentral:rRNA from 1 species